UUUUGCUCGACUCUCUCUCUCUCAGCCGUUUUUUGUUCAGGACUUCAUGAUGGCGGAGCCGCGGAGCGGGGCGGGAGCCGAGAGGAAAACGGAAGUGAGCUUCUUCUUCUACGCGUUAUAAAGCGGGCAGCACUGAGCCACUGGAGAGGAGCUAAAGAGCAUGAGGCUCCGGAGCCGCAGGUUGCAGACCCCUGGUCUAGUGAAACCAGAAUCGUAGCUAUGGAAUAUAGCUCAAAAAAUACACAUCAAUAUCAUACUUUUUAAGCACUCAUUCAUUUUAACAGUGACCUAUGUUUGGGUGUAAUCCUUGCUGAAAAAUAAAGAUGCUAUAGAUUUUGGCAUCAA